rnacentral:rRNA from 1 species
UACGGGGGGAGCAAGCGUUGUUCGGAUUUACUGGGCGUAAAGGGCGCGUAGGCGGUCGUGACAAGUCACUUGUGAAAUCUCCGGGCUUAACUCGGAACGGUCAAGUGAUACUGUCGGACUAGAGUACAGAAGGGGCAACUGGAAUUCUCGGUGUAGCGGUGAAAUGCGUAGAUAUCGAGAGGAACACCAAUUGCGAAGGCAGCUCGCUGGGACGUUACUGACGCUGAGACGCGAAAGCGUGGGGAGCAAACAGG